rnacentral:lncRNA from 1 species
GAUUUUGAUUCAAAACUUAUUUAAGGAUCAAAUUGGUGAUGUUAUAAUCAGGGUUUCUCCUCAUAUUAUAUGUGCUUUCUAAGAUCUUAAAUCACCACAAAUUGUUAAAUCCCUACGAGCUUCGGAUGGAGCGUUAGCGCGUGGAUUUCGCGUGGAGGCCGUGGAUUCGGUGGGCGUUUCGUGGAAUCGAGGUGUGUUUGCUGCAAGGACUUGCGGUGUGGUCGGUUGGAGGAUUCCAAGCGAUCGAGGAUCGGCGAAGACAAUCUACAAUAAGGAUUCGGUAAAUUGAGUCGUGUAUUUUUGUUAAAUCACUUGUACUCAAGUUUUCUUAGUGGAUUUCUUUGUGUGGUCGGUCC